CUCCUCCAAAAUGGUCCUCACUGCCCUCAACUCCCAGAUUUCUUUGAUUGCUUUAUUUCCAUUUCUUGGUUGUUUCUUUGGAGGGUGAGAGUGCAGCUUUGCAUUCUUAGAGAUGGAACCAAAUGAGAGGAAAUUGGCCUUCUCACUGUCUUCUGUGGGGGACUUGGCAACAAGUAAAAGUCCUUUGGGCUUGACAUAAAAUAAAGCCCUUAGUGGAACUUGAAAUAUCUACAGAAACAAAGCUGACUUUAUCCUUUAUAUAACAGAGUUCUACACACACAAUGAUUUUAAUGAUUUACAAAUGCAUAAUAUUUUUGAUGUAUCCCACAGUAUUUAAGACCAAUAUACAAUAAAUCCAUGUUUCAUCUUUGUUAUUUUUGAGAUAAAAUCAACUUUGCAAAUGUCCUCCACAAGCAAAAGCAGAGAACUGAAAUACCUGCUCUUACAAAAUGCACCCCUUAUUCACCACAGAGCAGCUCUGCCCCAUUAGCCGCAGCUCGGGGUGCCUCAUUGCGCCUCAUCCACCCAGCCCGGCCCAUCCUAGACACUGUGAUCAGAAUGAGGCGGCAGCAUUACACUGGGACCACAGCUGUUGUGAUGAGCUCUGUAUGCAAGGAGAGUUACCACAAUAAGUGAUGCAAUGCUGGAUUUCACUUUUCUGAGCAGUGUUCAGAGCCUCCCCUUUGGAUGCAGCUUUUCCCCCCUCAGGCCUGGCAGCAGGACGUGGCCCUGCCGACCGGCUGGACCCACGGCACCCGAGGGAGGCAGUGAGGUGCUCGUAAUGCAAGCGGAGCCGGGCUGAGGUCAGUAACUGAGUCACUGGUCUGACAGAAGUGCUCUGACUCGAUCGAUGAAACCCUUAUGUAUUUUCUUUUCAUAUAGACAGCCUCCUAGGCUAGACUCAGAUUAGCGAAGCAGUUACAAAUCCAUUUAGCUUCAGCAGGCACAAACGAAGGCGGAAUCUGCCCUCCCUUUCUCGCUGACCUUCAGUAAAUCUAUUCAGGAAGAAGUUGGUAUGAAGUCAAAUUCUUUGUUACAAAGCUGGUCAGCUAUGGGCUUGUAAUUCCAAAGCGGCCAGAGACGCUGGCUGUGAUGCCUUUGGGAGACCAGAACUUGUAAGGGGGUGUUUGGCACUAUCUGAGCUAAUCAUCAUGAGAACUGACACACACAGCGCUAACCAAGGCUGGAAUUCUUGGCCUCGAUGAUGAGAAAACGGGGAGAAAACUUCAGUUGUGAAUGUGCUGGGAGAAAUACAGUUGGGGAUUGUCCUUCUGCUAUACAAAAUACAACACCCUAGGAGGUGGUGCUUUUCUAUAUGCUGUGCACUAGUGCUGCGCUGUGUCUUAUUGCAGAAACACAAUCUUUUUAAAAGAAUUGUGUGUUUUAUGAGAUCACAUAUUUGUUGUGGUUUGAAAAGUAGGUGUAAACUCCAAAGCCCACCUUACAACAAAUAGAGUAUCUUUCCUUGCUAAGCAGGGAUCUAAAAUCUCUUCUGGCCCAUAAGCUGUAGAAUACUUUUAAGAAAGCUUUUUUUUUUUUUUUAAAGAAUAGUAAAUAUUCUCCUCAGAUAGUCACUGGAAAUGGGGCAAUUUACAAAUGCAUGUAGCAGUUUGGUUUUCUGUCUAUCAAGUC
ensembl:lncRNA